GAUGAAGAACGUAGCGAAAUGCGAUACGUAAUGUGAAUUGCAGAAUUCAGUGAAUCAUCGAGACUUUGAACGCACAUUGCGCCCCCUGGUAUUCCGGGGGGCAUGCCUGUCCGAGCGUCAUUGCUGCCCUCAAGCACGGCUUGUGUGUUGGGCCUCCGUCCUCCUCCCGGGGGACGGGCCCGAAAGGCAGCGGCGGCACCGCGUCCGGUCCUCGAGCGUAUGGGGCUUCGUCACCCGCUCUUGUAGGCCCGGCCGGCGCUUGCCGACACAUCAAUCUUUUUUCCAGGUUGACCUCGGAUCAGGUAGGGAUACCCGCUGAACUUAAGCAUAUCAAUAACGGAGGA
rnacentral:misc_RNA from 1 species